rnacentral:misc_RNA from 1 species
AAGUCGUAACAAGGUUUCCGUAGGUGAACCUGCGGAAGGAUCAUUAAUGAAGUUUUUUGGGGUUUUUAAUCUCAAAAAAUAAUUCACCUUUUGUGCAUUGUUAUUAGAUAUACUUUGGUUAGAGCUUUGAUUUCGUUUUUUUGAAAUCAACUUCUUGCUGACUCUAUCCUUUUUUGAGGACAGUUGGCUAUGAAGCGGCCUACCAAAGUUUUUUAUCAAACUCUUGUAUUUUGUCUGACCUAAACUACUAUAAUUAAAUCAUAACUUUCAACAACGGAUCUCUUGGCUCUC